CUGUCUGAAUAUGGGGGGCCCAUCCUCCAAGGCUAAAUACUCCUGACUGACCGAUAGUGAACCAGUACCGUGAGGGAAAGGCGAAAAGAACCCCGGCGAGGGGAGUGAAAAAGAACCUGAAACCGUGUACGUACAAGCAGUGGGAGCACGCUUAGGCGUGUGACUGCGUACCUUUUGUAUAAUGGGUCAGCGACUUAUAUUCUGUAGCAAGGUUAACCGAAUAGGGGAGCCGAAGGGAAACCGAGUCUUAACUGGGCGUUAAGUUGCAGGGUAUAGACCCGAAACCCGGUGAUCUAGCCAUGGGCAGGUUGAAGGUUGGGUAACACUAACUGGAGGACCGAACCGACUAAUGUUGAAAAAUUAGCGGAUGACUUGUGGCUGGGGGUGAAAGGCCAAUCAAACCGGGAGAUAGCUGGUUCUCCCCGAAAGCUAUUUAGGUAGCGCCUCGUGAAUUCAUCUCCGGGGGUAGAGCACUGUUUCGGCA
rnacentral:rRNA from 1 species